rnacentral:rRNA from 1 species
GAUGAACGCUGGCGGCGUGCCUAAUACAUGCAAGUCGAGCGAACAGACGAGGAGCUUGCUCCUCUGACGUUAGCGGCGGACGGGUGAGUAACACGUGGAUAACCUACCUAUAAGACUGGGAUAACUUCGGGAAACCGGAGCUAAUACCGGAUAAUAUAUUGAACCGCAUGGUUCAAUAGUGAAAGACGGUUUUGCUGUCACUUAUAGAUGGAUCCGCGCCGCAUUAGCUAGUUGGUAAGGUAACGGCUUACCAAGGCAACGAUGCGUAGCCGACCUGAGAGGGUGAUCGGCCACACCGGAACUGUGACACGGUCCAGACUCCUACGGGAGGCAGCAGUAGGGAAUCUUCCGCAAUGGGCGAAAGCCUGACGGAGCAACGCCGCGUGAGUGGUGAAGGUCUUCGGAUCGUAAAACUCUGUUAUUAGGGAAGAACAAAUGUGUAAGUAACUAUGCACGUCUUGACGGUACCUAAUCAGAAAGCCACGGCUAACUACGUG